rnacentral:rRNA from 1 species
GUGGGGAAUAUUGGACAAUGGGCGAAAGCCUGAUCCAGCCAUGCCGCGUGUGUGAAGAAGGUCUUCGGAUUGUAAAGCACUUUAAGUUGGGAGGAAGGGUAGUAACCUAAUACGUUGCUACUUUGACGUUACCGACAGAAUAAGCACCGGCUAACUUCGUGCCAGCAGCCGCGGUAAUACGAAGGGUGCAAGCGUUAAUCGGAAUUACUGGGCGUAAAGCGCGCGUAGGUGGUUCAGUAAGUUGGAAGUGAAAUCCCCGGGCUCAACCUGGGAACUGCUGUCAAAACUGCUGAGCUAGAGUACGGUAGAGGGUGGUGGAAUUUCCUGUGUAGCGGUGAAAUGCGUAGAUAUAGGAAGGAACACCAGUGGCGAAGGCGACCACCUGGACUGAUACUGACACUGAGGUGCGAAAGCGUGGGGAGCAAACAGGAUUAGAUACCCUUGUAGUCC